UACGGGGGGGGCAAGCGUUGUUCGGAAUUACUGGGCGUAAAGGGUUUGUAGGUGGCUUGCUAAGUCAGACGUGAAAUCCCUCAGCUUAACUGAGGAACUGCGUCUGAGACUGGCAAGCUUGAGUGCAGGAGAGGAACGCGGAAUUCCAGGUGUAGCGGUGAAAUGCGUAGAUAUCGAGAGGAACACCGAUGGCGAAAGCAGCUCCUUGGCUCAUUUCUGACACUGAAACACGAAAGCGUGGGGAGCAAACAGG
rnacentral:rRNA from 1 species